UAUUGCUGCGGUUUUGGGCGGGAAACCGCAGCAAUAUAUUUUAAAAAUAUUUUUUUAUUAUAUUGAUGCGGUUUCCCGCCCAAAACCGCAGCAAUAUU
rnacentral:pre_miRNA from 1 species